rnacentral:rRNA from 1 species
UACGUAGGUGGCAAGCGUUAUCCGGAAUUAUUGGGCGUAAAGCGCGCGCAGGCGGUUUCUUAAGUUUGAAGUGACAGUGGGUGGCUUAACUACCCAAGGCCUUUGAAAACUGGGGAACUUGAGGACCAGAGAGGGACAUAGAAUUCCGGGUGGAGUGGUGAAAUGCGUAGAUAUCCGGAGGAAUACCAAAGGCGAAGGCAGUGUCCUGGAGGGUUAACUGACGCUGAGGCGCGAAAGCUAGGGGAGCGAACAGG